GAGGAAUAUUGGUCAAUGGGCGAGAGCCUGAACCAGCCAAGUCGCGUGAAGGAUGACGGCCCUACGGGUUGUAAACUUCUUUUGUACAGGAAUAAAGUGAGCCACGUGUGGUUUUUUGCAUGUACUGUACGAAUAAGGAUCGGCUAACUCCGUGCCAGCAGCCGCGGUAAUACGGAGGAUCCAAGCGUUAUCCGGAUUUAUUGGGUUUAAAGGGUGCGCAGGCGGAAUGUUAAGUCGGCGGUGAAAUUUUGCAGCUCAACUGUAAAAGUGCCUUCGAAACUGGCAUUCUUGAGUAUGGAUGAAGUAGGCGGAAUUUGUGGUGUAGCGGUGAAAUGCAUAGAUAUCACGAGGAACUCCGAUUGCGCAGGCAGCUUACUAAACCAUAACUGACGCUCAUGCACGAAGGCGUGGGGAUCGAAC
rnacentral:rRNA from 1 species